GACGAACCGAGCGAACGUUGUUCGGAAUCACUGGGCUUAAAGGGCGCGUAGGCGGGAUGGCAAGUCGGUCGUGAAAGCCUUCGGCUCAACCGAAGAACGUCGGCCGAUACUGCCGUUCUUGAGGGAUGCAGAGGAGACUGGAAUUCCCGGUGUAGCGGUGAAAUGUGUAGAGAUGUGGAGGAACACCAGUGGCGAAGGCGACUCUUUGGCCUGUAACUGACGCUGAGGCGCGAAAGCGUGGGGAGCGAACAGG
rnacentral:rRNA from 1 species